rnacentral:rRNA from 1 species
ACAGUGGACGCGAGCAUCUUUGUUGUAAGUGUUUAAGAGCGUACGGUGGAUGCCUUGGCACCAGGAGCCGAUGAAGGACGUAGGAGGCUGCGAUAAGCCUCGGGGAGCUGUCAACCGAGCUGAGAUCCGAGGAUGUCCGAAUGGGGAAACCCAGCCACAGUGAUGUGUGGUUACCCGCGCCUGAAUAUAUAGGGCGUGUGGAGGGAACGUGGGGAAGUGAAACAUCUCAGUACCCACAGGAAGAGAAAACAACAUGUGAUUCCGUGAGUAGUGGCGAGCGAAAGCGGAAGAGGCUAAACCAUGGGUGUGUGAUAGCCGGCGGGCGUUGCAUUCGUGGGGUUGUGGGAUCCGUCUUGUCAAUUCUGCCGGAUUGGCCGACAGUGAGAAAUCAUCGUGUUAGUCGAAGUGGUCUGGAACGGCCUGUCGUAGAGGGUGAGAGUCCCGUAGACGAAAACAUGGUGACUGUCGUGACGGACACCCGAGUAGCAGCGGGCCCGUGAAAUCUGCUGUGAAUCUGUCGGGACCACCCGAUAAGCCUGAAUACUCCCUGGUGACCGAUAGCGGACUAGUACCGUGAGGGAAAGGUGAAAAGUACCCCGGGAGGGGAGUGAAAUAGUACCUGAAACCGUGCGCUUACAAUCCGUCAGAGCCUGCGCCACUUUUGGUGGGUGGGUGAUGGCGUGCCUUUUGAAGAAUGAGCCUGCGAGUUAGCGGCAUGUCGCGAGGUUAACCCGUGUGGGGUAGCCGUAGCGAAAGCGAGUCCGAAUAGGGCGUUUGUAGUGGCAUGUUCUAGACCCGAAGCGGAGUGAUCUACCCAUGGCCAGGGUGAAGCGACGGUAAGACGUCGUGGAGGCCCGAACCCACUUAGGUUGAAAACUGAGGGGAUGAGCUGUGGGUAGGGGUGAAAGGCCAAUCAAACUCCGUGAUAGCUGGUUCUCCCCGAAAUGCAUUUAGGUGCAGCGUCGCGUGUUUCACUCUGGAGGUAGAGCUACUGGAUGGCCGAUGGGCCCCACAAGGUUACUGACGUCAGCCAAACUCCGAAUGCCAGAGUGUGAGAGCGCGGCAGUGAGACUGCGGGG